rnacentral:misc_RNA from 1 species
GAUGAAGAACGUAGCAAAAUGCGAUAAGUAAUGUGAAUUGCAGAAUUCAGUGAAUCAUCGAAUAUUUGAACGCACAUUGCGCCCGCCAGUAUUCUGGCGGGCAUGCCUGUUCGAGCGUCAUUUCAACCCUCAAGCACAGCUUGGUGUUGGGACUCGCGUUAAUUCGCGUUCCUCAAAUUGAUUGGCGGUCACGUCGAGCUUCCAUAGCGUAGUAGUAAAACCCUCGUUACUGGUAAUCGUCGCGGCCACGCCGUUAAACCCCAACUUCUGAAUGUUGACCUCGGAUCAGGUAGGAAUACCCGCUGAACUUAAGCAUAUCAAUAAGCGGAGGA